CCUACGGGUGGCAGCAGUGAGGAAUAUUGGUCAAUGGACGAGAGUCUGAACCAGCCAAGUAGCGUGAAGGAUGACUGCCCUAUGGGUUGUAAACUUCUUUUAUAUGGGACUAAAAUGUUCCACGUGUGGGAUUUUGUAUGUACCAUAUGAAUAAGGAUCGGCUAACUCCGUGCCAGCAGCCGCGGUACUACGGAGGAUCCGAGCGUUAUCCGGAUUUAUUGGGUUUAAAGGGAGCGUAGGUGGAUUGUUAAGUCAGUUGUGAAAGUUUGCGGCUCAACCGUAAAAUUGCAGUUGAAACUGGCAGUCUUGAGUACAGUAGAGGUGGGCGGAAUUCGUGGUGUAGCGGUGAAAUGCUUAGAUAUAACGAAGAACUCCGAUUGCGAAGGCAGUUCACUGGACUGCAACUGACACUGAUGCUCGAAAGUGUGGGUAUCAAACAGGAUUAGAUACCCCUGUAGUC
rnacentral:rRNA from 1 species